rnacentral:misc_RNA from 1 species
GAAGCAUUGUUUUUCGGAAGUUUGCCAAGUGGCUCCUCAAGUUUGUGUUUUCAUCAUACUUGUCCAGGGUUAGGAGUUCGAAUUUGGGUGGGAAGUUUGGUACAAGAUCGCCUCACACAGUGGAGAUCCAUCACCCAUGCCAAAAUCAUCAUCCUAUUGGUGCCUCUGACUUGGCCAACCUCGAGGGAUCUCCAAAUGAUACUGGGAUGGCCACUGGGGGCGUGGAGUUGGUAAGGCCAUUGGUAUUACUGGUUGCUUUUGUUGGCUUGUUCAUAUUCCUUCUUCAAGGAUGCCAACGUAGCCUCCAUUUCCUUAAUCCUUAGGAAGAUGAGAUCCUGAGAGGAGUCAGAUAUUCCUAUU